ACGAACGCUGGCGGCGUGCUUAACACAUGCAAGUCGAACGGAAAGGCCCUGCUUUUGUGGGGUGCUCGAGUGGCGAACGGGUGAGUAACACGUGAGUAACCUGCCCUUGACUUUGGGAUAACUUCAGGAAACUGGGGCUAAUACCGGAUAGGAGCUCCUGCUGCAUGGUGGGGGUUGGAAAGUUUCGGCGGUUGGGGAUGGACUCGCGGCUUAUCAGCUUGUUGGUGGGGUAGUGGCUUACCAAGGCUUUGACGGGUAGCCGGCCUGAGAGGGUGACUGGCCACAUUGGGACUGAGAUACGGCCCAGACUCCUACGGGAGGCAGCAGUGGGGAAUAUUGCACAAUGGGCGGAAGCCUGAUGCAGCAACGCCGCGUGCGGGAUGACGGCCUUCGGGUGGUAAACCGCUUUCGCCUGUGACGAAGCGUGAGUGACGGUAAUGGGGAAAGAAGCACCGGCUAACUACGU
rnacentral:rRNA from 1 species